rnacentral:lncRNA from 1 species
UUUAGAAAGUGUAUUUUGCCAAGGUUGAGGGUGUGCCCCCAUGACACAGCCUCAGGAGGUCUUGACGACAUGUGCCCAGGGUGGUCAGAUCACAACCUGGUUUUAUGUACUUUAGAAAAACAUGAGACAUCAAUCAACAUAUGUAAGAUGAACAUUGGUUCGGUCCAGAAAGGAGGGACCACUCAAAGUGAGGAGGGGGCUUCCAAGUCUUAGGUAGGUAACAGACAAAUAGUUACAAGCUUUCACAUCACCUACCAGGCCUGCCCUGCUCACCAAAAACUUCAUAUACUUGGUCAUCAUUUCCUACAUUCUCACACAGAAGAGAGCACUCAAAAAAAUAGUUUUGAGAAUCAUUUGCUAAUGAUUUAAUACUAUUAUAAGGGAAUAAAAGACUUUUCUUUUAAAUGAGUGCUUAAAGACGACUGGAAGCCCUCCUGAAGUUUAGGGGUGAAUGGUUUAUUAUUUUUUAUAUUUGGGGGCAAGGGCUUUCCAGUGAAGACUGGAAAAACAGCUAGGCCAAUUCUAAAAGUUGUAACACUGGGUGGAUGCUGAAGAAGCACAUAGUGUUAGGAAGGUGUAGGUCAGAUACGGCUUUAGAGAAUGUAGCAACUGAAAGCCCAGAUGGGAAGCUCCGUAGGCAGCUGGAUAAGCUAAUAUUUCUAAAUAAUAUGUUCAGAUAUCCGGACUGAAUACAAUUGCAACCUUCCCCACGAGCCAGCAGUGAGUUCUGAAGUUACAGAAGUGUGAUGAAUUGCGGUCAGUAUGGGUUCUACCUUCAAUUUGGAGUCAGUCAGUGACCUUAAAAUACCUGCCCAGCUGAAUUUUCUUAGAGCGCUUCAUAUCCUGUGGGCACUUUUACUCCCAAUUCCAGAUGAUGGCUUUUAGUCUGUGGAGCCGCUUUAAGAGGCAGAAACCUGACCGGAACUGCUAAAAGACUGUGAAGGUACUGCUGUGUGGACAGGCAGGGCGCGGUGCUCAAGGCUUUCCAAUGCUCCUGCAAUGGAUCCUCCCUACCCAGCCCACAACCUGGCAACCCAGCGGCCAGCUGUUCUCUGCAGCUUUCUACUAUCAUGGACGCAGGAAACGGCGGUGGGUGGCUUCUGGUUUCUGACUGGGGGAGUAGAAAGUGAUGCUGCACGGAUCGAAAGCAGAGAAGCUUUUAAGCCAUUUGAGAAACUGCAUCUGAAGCUUUGCCCUCCUUCCCUGCUCCUUGGAUCGAGUUGUAAGGAGAACAUGCCCAUUGUCUUGAUGGCUGUAGUGUGUGGACACCACAGGUGGUGAUGAAGAUAUGGGUUUCCACCCACGCUGUAGAUGGAAUGUUUGUGUCCUCCCGAAAUUCCUAUGUUGAAGCUUAACCACCAAUGUGAUGGUAUUUGGAGAUGGGCCUUUGGUAGGUAAUUAGGGUUACAUUAAGUCACGGGGCGGGGCCCUUAUGAUGGAUCUGGUAAGGAGAGCACGCUGUCUCUCUCUUCCCACCAGGUGAGGAUGCAAAGAGAAAGUGGCUGCCUGCAAACCAGGAGGAGAGCCCUCACCAGGAACCAAUCUAGCUGACACUUUGAACUUGGACUCCAAACCUCCAGUACUGUACGAAAUAAAUAUGUGUUUUCAAUGUCAGUUAGUCUACAUUAUUUUGUUUCAAGUAAUAUGACCUGAAAAUACAUUUUCCCCUCACCCCGCCUGAGCAAUAUCUAAGUUACUUAAGGAACCCAGGGCACAUCAAAGGAGAAAUGUCCCAUUCACAAGGCACAGCCAUGCCCAGGAGAAGCAGCCCGGCACAGAAGGGAGCACACGGGCUCGGGGCUCUGCCGCUCAUUCUUCCUUGACCCUGGGCAAGUCACUGAGGGGAGCCUUAGCUGACCUGUUUGUAGUGGGCUUAGUAGUGCUUGCCCUGCCUCCUGUGGAGGGCUGCAGAGACCAGAUGUCAAAGCACUUUAUCCGUAGGGUUUAUUUGAACAAGGAAGGAAAUGUGCAUAUGCUCCAGGAUGUCUGUGUAUCCAAAGUUACGCUUCCCCGCACUGAUCCUUUGCUGCACAUCGCUGUCUCUCACUUUUACCUCGUUCUCCGGACCUUUGAUUUUGCACUCAUCUCACGU